GGGCGAAAGACUAAUCGAACC
rnacentral:ncRNA from 3 species